ACUCCUACGGGAGGCAGCAGUGGGGAAUUUUGGACAAUGGGCGCAAGCCUGAUCCAGCCAUGCCGCGUGAGUGAAGAAGGCCUUCGGGUUGUAAAGCUCUUUCGGACGGAAAGAAAUCGCGCAGGUAAAUAAUCUGCGUGGAUGACGGUACCGUAAGAAGAAGCACCGGCUAACUACGUGCCAGCAGCCGCGGUAAUACGUAGGGUGCGAGCGUUAAUCGGAAUUACUGGGCGUAAAGCGUGCGCAGGCGGUUUUGUAAGACAGGUGUGAAAUCCCCGGGCUUAACCUGGGAAUGGCGCUUGUGACUGCAAGACUCGAGUGCGGCAGAGGGGGGUGGAAUUCCACGUGUAGCAGUGAAAUGCGUAGAGAUGUGGAGGAACACCGAUGGCGAAGGCAGCCCCCUGGGUCGACACUGACGCUCAUGCACGAAAGCGUGGGGAGCAAACAGGAUUAGAUACCCUGGUAGUCCACGCCCUAAACGAUGCCAACUAGGUGUUGGGGAAGGAGACUUCCUUAGUACCGAAGCUAACGCGUGAAGUUGGCCGCCUGGGGAGUACGGUCGCAAGAUUAAAACUUAAAGGAAUUGACG
rnacentral:rRNA from 1 species